GAACCCUUCAACCUGACACAGAAACAAUCCUAAAGUUUAGUUUGGUAUUGAGACUAAUCUGGCGCUAUUAAAUAAAAUGGAGUUGGAAUAAAAAUAUAUAGAGAUAUGUUUCUGCAUUUUCCGAUGAGACUGUAGAAAAUAUAUAGUAAUUGACUCAUCGCGAUAUAGAGAACGUAAUAUUACAUACGAAAAUAAAUAGAAUAUUUUUUUAUCGUACUUUCUCUCCGCACGUAACACAAUUUCAAACGAAAUCUAAAUCAAGCCAUGAUAAUACUUUCUCUCCUUUUUCUUUUUUCUUUUUUUUUUUCUU
rnacentral:lncRNA from 1 species